rnacentral:misc_RNA from 1 species
GGGACUACUGGGGUUUCUAAUCCCGUUUGCUCCCCUGGCUUUCGCGCCUCAGCGUCAGUGUCAGCCCAGCAACCCGUCUUCACCUCAGGUGUUCCUCUCGAUAUCUACGCAUUUCACCGCUACACCGAGAAUUCCGAUUGCCCCUUCUGCACUCUAGCAAAGCAGUAUCAGCUGGCCGUUCUGGGUUAAGCCCAGAGAUUUCACAGCUGACUUGAAUUGCCGCCUACGCGCCCUUUACGCCCAGUAAAUCCGAACAACGCUUGGUCCCUACGUAUUACCGCGGCGGCUGGCAC